rnacentral:tRNA from 1 species
CAUAAAGUAGCUUAAGCCCCAUAAAGCGUCUGGUCUACGCCCAGAAGAUUCCACAACCGUUGGACAUUAUGA